UACGACCGCAUCACGUUGAAACAUCGAUUCCCGUACAAUCACCGAAGUUAAGCGACGUUGAGUCUCGUCAGUGCCUAGAUAGGUGACCACUUGGGAAUAUCAGGUGCUGUAAG